UGCUGAGUUGAUGGCGACCGGCGCACGGGUGAGUAACGCGUAUCCACCUGCCCUUUACUCCGGGAUAGUCUCCUGAAAGGGAGUUUAAUACCGGAUGUGUCCGCAUGGGUAAAGAUUAUUGGUAAAGGAUGGGGAUGCGUCCCAUUAGCUUGUUGGCGGGGUAACGGCCCACCAAGGCAACGAUGGGUAGGGGUUCUGAGAGGAAGGUCCCCCACAUUGGAACUGAGACACGGUCCAAACUCCACGGGAGGCAGCAGUGAGGAAUAUUGGUCAAUGGGCGAGAGCCUGAACCAGCCAAGUAGCGUGAAGGACGACGGCCUACGGGUUGUAAACUUCUUUUAUAAGGGAAUAAGUUCGCCACGUGUGGUGUUUUGUAUGUACCUUAUGAAUAAGCAUCGGCUAAUUCCGUGCCAGCAGCCGCGGUAAUACGGAAGAUGCGAGCGUUAUCCGGAUUUAUUGGGUUUAAAGGGAGCGUAGGCGGGCUUUUAAGUCAGCGGUCAAAUGCCACGGCUCAACCGUGGCCAGCCGUUGAAACUGUAAGCCUUGAGUCUGCACAGGGCACAUGGAAUUCGU
rnacentral:rRNA from 1 species